GUGGGGAAUAUUGGACAAUGGGCGAAAGCCUGAUCCAGCCAUGCCGCGUGUGUGAAGAAGGUCUUCGGAUUGUAAAGCACUUUAAGUUGGGAGGAAGGGCAGUAAGUUAAUACCUUGCUGUUUUGACGUUACCAACAGAAUAAGCACCGGCUAACUUCGUGCCAGCAGCCGCGGUAAUACGAAGGGUGCAAGCGUUAAUCGGAAUUACUGGGCGUAAAGCGCGCGUAGGUGGUUUUGUAAGUUGGAGGUGAAAUCCCCGGGCUCAACCUGGGAACUGCCUCAAAAACUGCAUGACUAGAGUACGGUAGAGGGUAGUGGAAUUUCCUGUGUAGCGGUGAAAUGCGUAGAUAUAGGAAGGAACACCAGUGGCGAAGGCGACUACCUGGACUGAUACUGACACUGAGGUGCGAAAGCGUGGGGAGCAAACAGGAUUAGAUACCCCAGUAGUCC
rnacentral:rRNA from 1 species